ACGCGUGCGCCCCGCAUCGCAUUUCAUUACGCGUGCGCGGAGUGUUCUUUCUUUUGCUGAAGUCGACGAGAAGGUCGCAAAGAUGCCUGUGAGUCGCCUCAGAAAAUUACGUUUUAUUCUGUUGUUUGACGAUUUGUUAGUGUAACUUUGAUAUAGAUGAACGUGUUGUGUUGUCGUUUAGUAUAAUGUGUGAAAUUUAGACGAAUUUCGGUUGUGUAUUUGUUUUUAUUCAAUUUUUGCCCGAACACGUUUGAACACAGAUUCUUGGUCACAUGGUGAAAUUUGUGACGAACUGGAUAUACAUAGAAUAACAGUUAUCUACGUUUUACAGAUUUUUCGUAUAUUAUAUAAUGUUUAGUGUUUUUUUUUAUUAUAGUUCUUCAGCGUAUAAAAUUAAUUAGUUUCAGUUUUGCUAAUCGGGUGCCAUUUUGCUGACGGUCAAUUUUGCACAAAAUGAUCAAAUCUAUAGCAAAAAUAGCUCGAUUUAAUACCUGCUAAGAUUUGUCAGACCAAUUCCAGGUUUAAUUCAAUAUCAAUGCUAUCUCUCGAUAUCAUGAUCCAAAUUUUACAAUGCUCAACAAAACCUGAAAUUAGCCUUACAAAUAUGUAGUAGGGGAUUGCUUUAUGUGCUCAUCAUCUACUAUUUUGCAACUUUAAAGUUUAAACCUUGGAAAGGGUGAAGAAAAUGAGUGCAUUCUAUAUCUGUCCGAUCAGUUUCAUUGCAGUCCAGAGGAUAAAUUGGGUCAUUCCACGAAAACAUUCCUCCCCCACAGAGGAAAUUGGAAGUUAACCCCCCCCCUAUCCUUUUCGGAUGUCCUAAUAUACUUACUAUUAUCAGAAACAAUUUGCCCCCCCCCCCCACUUCCCGACUGCAGAAAUUCCCUCCUUUGGGAGGGGGGGGGGGGAGUGUGGAUCUUUUUUGGAAUGACCCAUUGGCUACUUGCACUCUGCAAUUUGUGAAGCAUUUUGUAGAUUUUCUAAAGUAAAAUUCAUAUGAAAAGGGAAAAUGCAAAGCAAUUUGUAACAGUUACUGUAUGCUCUUCUGCCCUUCACUUGCUUUCACAUGUUUAAUUUGUUUUGCAAGCUCAAUAAAAUUUUGCUUUGUAUAUUGUUCCUCAUUAUAUUUUUAGUUUUUUUAUACUAAAAGGCUACAAUGCAAUAUUGUCAGUGUUUCCAGUUUACAACAUUGAACAUUUCUUUAAGUUGUAUAAAGAUGCAUGUACACACAACAAUUAACCGGGCCGAUUUCAGGUUUUGCCGAAUGUGAAUGACAAAUGUUGUCAGUUGACGAUGCUCUCAGAUGAUGUUGACAGCGUAUUCAAAUGUUGUGUAAAGCUGAAUUGGCCCGAUUAAUCAUUGUGCAUAAACAUACCUAAGAGUGACAUCAGCUAGCCAAUCCUUGAUGAAGAACUAAUUAUAUAAACCAAAGCUUUUCAGGAUAUUAGAACCAUUGGGAAAUUAUCGGUUAUUCAGUACAUGUCGGUUUCAACAGACAUAAAAUGUCUGUUAAUAAUUUGGAAUGUUCAUAAUAAUUUUAUAGUUAUACAAAGAUUUGCUUCACCCAACUGCGGAGGAAGAAAAAAGAAAACACAAAUUAAAAAGGCUUGUACAAUCGCCUAACUCGUACUUCAUGGAUGUGAAGUGCCCAGGUACCUAAUCAAAAUUUUCUUUUUGGUAAAGGGCUAUUUAUAUGAAAACUAAGCUAGCCUGGGCGGUAUCACCACUGGCCUCCGUACAAAUCCUGAAUAAGAAACCAUUGCCAUGUUGAAAGUAUCUUCAGGUUUUAUAGAGUGGAGCAGUGCAGUCCAAUGCAGUAUUUGACUUGUUUUUGCAGUUUAUCUGUAAACUUACCAAAAUUUCAUUAUUUUACAUACUUUUGAUUUGAUUUCCUAAUUAUAAGGCAUCAACCCCAGUGAAUAUAUCCACCUUUCAGCCCUCGAAAACCGUCAAAAUUGAGGUCGGCAAAAAAAUGCCGACAUAAAUCUGAUCUAGGUCGGCACGUCUCAGCAUUUUUUUAAAUCUUCUUCCAUGUCUUGGAGCACUAACUAUAAUUUUCUCACGUAUUUACGAAUCAUUGUUAUUAAAAGUAACACGGCAGCUUUUCUUUUGGAGUCUUACCUAAAUUAUAUAUAGAAUACCUGUCAAUUUUUAAACCUUCCAAGUGUGUUUAGUUAAUCGAACUACGAAUUCUAUAAUUGCUGACUUUUUAACAGCUAUCAGCACCAAAAAAAUUCUUACUUUGACUGAAUUAAGGUCGGCAAAAAUUUGCUGACCUGGGAGCUUGAUAGAUUGGCAUUGCCGAAUGCCGACCUAGUUUUUGAGGGCUGCACCCCUUUAUUAAAUAAGUAUGGUUCUAUCCGAGAAACUUUAGUGGGCAGGGAGAAAAAAUUGAUAAGAAAGCUUCAGAUUGAUGCAACUACCUGAAUAAUACAAGGAGACAGGGUUUGUACAAAACUUGAAAGUCCUUGAAUUUGAAAACAAAAAUUCAAGGCCUUGAAAGUCCUUGAGUUUAUAAAGAAGUGCUUGAAAGUCCUUAAAUUGUUCUUGCUUUAGUGGAUAUUUUCUGAAAUUGUUUGGCAUUAAGAAUUGGACAUUUUGUAAAUUGAUUUUGUUCAUGUCUAAAGGCGGAUUUCCAGUCCUCGCACGAACCAGCUCGCUGCGAGUGAUGCAUGAGCACUUUCAUCCAAUCACAAUGCUAAACAGUUCAUUUUAAUAUAGAUGCAAGCACUCGCAGCGAGCUGCGAGGAGCUUCAUGCGAGGACUGGAAAACCGCCUUUACAAAGGUCAAAGCUGUUUGAAAUUCAUUAAAAUUGCCAUUUGUAUAGUUUAAAUUCACUUACUGAUUUCUAACACCUUUUCAGCCCAUUAGUCCUUGAAUGUCUAGAUACAUGGACUUGAGAAAAGUCUUUGAAUUUAACUCUUCUAGAAACACAUUUGGGUAUUUGCAUCCCUAUCAAUCCAAAGCUUUCUUAUUUUUGCCACUAUCUACAUUGGCACAGACCAUUCAAGACAAAAAUUGAUGUUUAAUAUUUUCAAAUGUUUUAGGUUGCUAUAAGAUAACCACAGUAUUUAGUCAUGCCCAGACAGUUGUCCUGUGUGUCAGUUGCUCGACUGUUUUGUGUCAACCUACUGGAGGCAGAGCAAGAUUGACAGAAGGUG